rnacentral:rRNA from 1 species
AGCAGCCGCGGUAAUUCCAGCUCCAAUAGCGUAUAUUAAAGUUGUUGCAGUUAAAAAGCUCGUAGUUGAAUUUCGGGAUCAAGGAAUCGGUCAUGCCUUGGUAUGUACUGGUUUUAUUGGUUCUCACCUUCUAAAGAACCAUAAUGUCAUUCAUUUGAUGUUAUGGGGAAUUAGGACUGUUACCUUGAAAAAAUUAGAGUGUUUAAAGCAGGCUUACGCUUGAAUACAUUAGCAUGGAAUAAUGAAAUAGGACAUCCGAUUCUAUUUUGUUGGUUUCUAGGAUCGAUGUAAUGAUUAAUAGGGAUAGUUGGGGGCAUUAGUAUUCAAUUGUCAGAGGUGAAAUUCUUGGAUUUAUUGAAGACUAACUACUGCGAAAGCAUUUGCCAAGGAUGUUCUCAUUAAUCAAGAACGAAAGUUAGGGGAUCGAAGACGAUCAGAUACCGUCGUAGUCUAACCAUAAACUAUGCCGACUAGGGAUCGGAUGAUGUUAAUUUUAUAAUGACUC